CAAUGGAAUGAAACGCAUGGGUCCCCUGCGUUUUCUCGAAAAAAAAAGAAAUGAGUGUGAGCAAGUACCAAUAACUUCUGCUUCUUACAAUUUCUGAGGAUCGUACUUCAGGUAGCCAUCCUAUUUGAUUUUGAACAUUUGCCAAGAAAAGAAAAUCAUCAUGGUUAGAGCCAAGCUAGUCUCGCUCGCAUACUUGCACAUAUGGGAUGCGAAGCAAAGAUCCCAGCACAAUAAAUUCGAUGCACAGUUCUACCAGUAACUUGGCACAUAUGGGAUGCGAAGCAAAGAUCCUAGUACAAUAGAUUGUAACUAAUGGGUCUCAUUGUCAGGAAACUCAUGAUUCCCAAUAACUAACCACAACAUUAAUUUCUGUAGUAACAUAACACAGGUUGUACCUUCAAAUGUUGAUUUUAGUCGCUUUCUUUCAGAUUUUCGCGCAUUGACCAGCUUAUCCCCCUGAAAAUAAAGUAGAAUAUCAGAUUAGCAGCUAUAUAUAUUGCAAGCAUUCAUUUUUUUACUGUAAAAGAGAUAAUAAAGUGUUUACUUCAAGAAAAUACAGCAGGCGAAGCAAAAAUGUACACCUAAAAGGUGAACAAAAAAUGAAAUAUCAAUCCUAAUUAGGGUGUGCAGGACCAAAUAAUUAAUAUGCCACUCUGGGAAGAAAACUUCAAAAUUUACCAGCAAUUGUGUUCACAUGGUACAAUUGGUUGUCCUGUCAUACUCCUCUCAUCAUCACAUGAAAAACGGACUCCCAUAGCCUCACAUAUGCACCCGGGAUGCUGCAAGAAUCAAAAAACAACCAACAAAAAGAUAAAUUUGCAUAUGUACCUACUGAGAAAGAACAUACACAUUUUAUCAAUCAGUCAUAACAGACAACACUACAUUGCCCAGUCUUAAAAAUCUAAGCUACAAACCGCAACAAAGGACAUGAGACAAACAAUAUGGUACUUGGACCAACAACGGUCAUGUGGAAGUAGAGAGAUCACGACAUAAUUUUUUCUGUAAGAUUUUCCAAUAAAACCAGUCAAAGGGUGCAAACUUUGUUCCUUUAGGUGGACUGAAUAAACCUUAUAACCAAGACCAUUAACUCAUCCAUGAAAUCUAGAGAGAAGAAUAAGCUUACCAUGUACGCACAUCAGUUCAUGCGAUUAAAAAAGGAGAGAAUAGAUACACACAUAAACAAUGAAUUGGUCAAUUAUGAGAUGAAGAAAAAAGACACAAGAAGAACAAGAAAAGAGAACGUGCAAAACCUCAUGCUGCUCGCAAUACUCGCCAGGCUGCUGCUUCACCCUGUUGUUGGCCUCCUCACCCUCCGCUACAUCUCACCCCAUCACAACCAACAAGAGCCAUUUGGAGGCCUAACCCUGAUGCUCUCAGGCCACCCAGCUGAGUAGUUGUAUCAUUCAAGUUAAGCAAUGCUCAAAGAACUCCACCACUAACCAAAAAAUGCAGUUCACACUAAAUAACAUCCUCACAGCCCCUAUCAUAUCCCAUGAUUUCCAUAGGAAAGAACUCGUUCGGGCAUAACAUUUCAUUAAACAGUAUUGUAAUAUAGAUAAGAUAAAGGAAAGGCCAUUCACGUGAGCUUCAAAUGCAAGACCCACGAGAAAAUCAGGCAAGGUCA
rnacentral:lncRNA from 1 species